rnacentral:misc_RNA from 1 species
UGUGUCUUCAUACAUGUUCGAUGUUACCAAAUAUAUAUACUUUAUAUUGUAGAUGGUAGUUUUUCAAUCAAUACUACGGAUACAUGUUAAAAGGACUGCCUGUAUUUGCGAUCAUACAUUGUAUAAAUGCAUAUAAGAAUUACUGACUAUAAAAUUAUAGUAGGAGUUUUUGGGGUUGAAGAAUGGAAUCGGAUACGGAUAGAAAGAAGAAAUGGAAGUUGAAGAAAAUAGAUAAAUGCUGGUUCUUAGAUGUUGGCGGUAAACUGACAAGGAUGAAUAUGCUGAACAAUGCUACUGAUGUUUACAUGGAAGACAACGUUAUUUUUGCCGAUGAUCUUGUAUUUCAGCUUACAGAGGAAAGUGACGAAGAAGUCACGGUGACAGAGAUUAAAGAUAUAUGCCUAAAACAUAAGACUUCUGAAUAUGAGGAAAAAGAGUCAGUUGCCAGAAGUGAAAAGGAAGAUUCCAUUGCAAGAAACAGUGCUGAUAAAAAGGAACUUGUUGAAUCUUUAGAAUCGAAGAGUGAUCGAAAUGUAGAUACUACACAAGACGCACAUCUUACAGAUAAAAAUAGAAGUUCAAGAGCAGAACUUACACUAAUAGAAGGUCCGGAAUAUCUAUAUGGUGAUGUCGAUGGACAAGAGACAGAUCACGAGCUGGGAAGCGAAGAAUAUGUACGAAAGAAAGGAAAGUUUAGAGGUUUCUUCAAACGAGUUAAACAUAUUGUAAAAAAGAAGGCAUCUUCCAAGCAUAAAGAAGAGCUUUUGUACGGAGACAUUUCAAACACUAUUAAAGAGUUUACGCCAAUCGACAGUGACGGCGGAGGCAGUGAAGAAGACGGUUAUGACUACACUUUAUUCGAGCCUAUGAAAGUUCACAGUGCCAGUUCUGAUGCCGUCCCGGGAGCGAGGAUAGUUACAGCUCUAUUUGACUUCAAUAAAUUUUCUGAGGACGAAAUUAGCUUCCAAAAACAAGACAAACUGAAACUUCGUGGAGAAACUUUGAGUGUCUUCACUGAAAACUGCGACUGAGGCUUAGCUGAACACUUGCCUACUAGUAAGAAAGGCUACAUUCCGCUUGCCUAUGUCACGGAAAGCAUCCACGCACUAAAGGCACAAAGCUGGUGGUUUGACAUAAGCAGACGGGAAGCGUCAGGAUUACUGAGAAUGCCCGGCAGUACUCCCGGAACAUACCUUGUAAGACCAUCGAAA